rnacentral:tRNA from 1 species
GCUUGGAUAGCUCAGUGGUCUAAAGCAGUUGCCCGGAAAGCGAAGCGUCGGGUUCGAUUCCCGAUCCAGCCA